rnacentral:rRNA from 1 species
GACGAACGCUGGCGGCGUGCUUAACACAUGCAAGUCGAACGGAAAGGCCCUGCUUUUGUGGGGUUCUCGAGUGGCGAACGGGUGUGUAACACGUGAGUAACCUUCCCUUUACUUUGUGAUAACUUCAGGAAACUGGUGCUACUACCGGAUAGGUGCUCCUGCUGCAUGGUGGGGGUUGGACCGUUUCGGCGGUUGGGGAUGGACUCGCGGCUUAUCAGCUUGUUGGUGGGGUAGUGGCUUACCAAGGCUUUGACGGGUAGCCGGCCUGAGAGGGUGACCGGCCACAUUGGGACUGAGAUACGGCCCAGACUCCUACGGGAGGCAGCAGUGGGGAAUAUUGCACAAUGGGCGGAAGCCUGAUGCAGCAACGCCGCGUGCGGGAUGAAGGCCUUCGGGUUGUAAACCGCUUUCGCCUGUGACGAAGCGUGAGUGACGGUAAUGGGUAAAGAAGCACCGGCUAACUACGUG